rnacentral:rRNA from 1 species
CAGUCGAACGGAAUCUUUAGGGAUUUAGUGGCGGACGGGUGAGUAACGCGUAAGAAUCUACCUUCAGGUCGGGGACAACCACUGGAAACGGUGGCUAAUACCGGAUGUGCCGAGAGGUGAAAGGCUUGCUGCCUGAAGAAGAGCUUGCGUCUGAUUAGCUAGUUGGUGGUGUAAGGGACUACCAAGGCGACGAUCAGUAGCUGGUCUGAGAGGAUGAUCAGCCACACUGGGACUGAGACACGGCCCAGACUCCUACGGGAGGCAGCAGUGGGGAAUUUUCCGCAAUGGGCGAAAGCCUGACGGAGCAAUACCGCGUGAGGGAGGAAGGCUCUUGGGUUGUAAACCUCUUUUCUCAGGGAAGAACAGAAUGACGGUACCUGAGGAAUAAGCAUCGGCUAACUCCGUGCCAGCAGCCGCGGUAAUACGGAGGAUGCAAGCGUUAUCCGGAAUGAUUGGGCGUAAAGGGUCCGCAGGUGGCAUUGAAAGUCUGCUGUUAAAGAGUUUGGCUCAACCAAAUAAGAGCAGUGGAAACUACAAAGCUAGAGUUUGGUCGGGGCAGAGGGAAUUCCUGGUGUAGCGGUGAAAUGCGUAGAUAUCAGGAAGAACACCAGUGGCGAAGGCGCUCUGCUAGGCCGAGACUGACACUGAGGGACGAAAGCUAGGGGAGCGAAUGGGAUUAGAUACCCCAGUAGUCCUAGCCGUAAACGAUGGAUACUAGGCGUAGCUCGUAUCGACCCGAGCUGUGCCGGAGCUAACGCGUUAAGUAUCCCGCCUGGGGAGUACGCAGGCAACUGUGAAACUCAAAGGAAUUGACGG